rnacentral:lncRNA from 1 species
UUUAUUCCCAUUAUUAACUAGGAUUCAUUAUGUACUAUGUAUAUUGUCCUACUGAUUUAUUUGUGUGUUUUAUGCCGAUGCCAGACUAACUUAUGUUCAGGCAUUUUUUUUCCGCACAAGGGAGCCUGAAGAAAGCAUAUCUAAUUCCACACACAAAAACAACAGAUUUCAAUUGGAAUUUAAUUAUGUAUAUAUCCAUUUUGGAAGAAUGUAUAUCUUCAUAGUGGUAAGUAUUUUCAUACCAGAACAUGGUCUGUUUUUCUGUUUGUUCAGGUCUUGUUUCAUGUUUUUCAAUAUGGUUGAGCUAUAUUUAUAGUUAAGUAUAUCAUGAAUAUAUAUAUAUAAGAGUAUAUGUACAGCAUAAAGCUCAAUAAAGCCAUACCCAGUUUAAGGAGUAGAGCAUUGCCCUUCGAAGCUUCCCAUCCCACCUCCAUGAGUUCCUCUCCCUGUCGCUAGGGUAUUAUUACUAUCCUCUCUUUUGUGUUAAUCAUUCACUUUCUUUCUUUUUCUUUUUUUUGAGAUAGGGUGUUGCUCCAUUGCCUAGGCUGGAGUGCAGUGGUGCAAUCAUAGCUCACUGCAGCCUUGACCUCCUGGGCUCAAACGAUCCUCCCACUUUGGACUUUUGUGUAGCAAGAUCACCUUGUGCACCACCUCACCUGGCCAAUUUUUUUUUUUUUUUUGUAGAGAUAGGGCCUCACUGUUUUGCCCAGGCUGGUCUCGAACUCCUGUCCUCAGGAAUCCUUCUGCUCUGGCCUCCCAAAGAGUUUGGAUUACAGGCAAAUGCCUCUUAUUGUUUACAUUAUGAAGUCUCAACUUGGAUGGAAGCCCAACUGCAACACGGCCUCCUAAAAUGAGACGCAACUGUUCAACUGAACUGUUCUCAGGACUAAAAGGCUGUGUCAAUAAGAUACGGGGAAUAUUUGUUCUUCUGUGUGUUCCGAUCCUUGUUUUUCUUUCCCUUCGUUGAUCUCUUGUUUCACAACUUCCAACCCAAAUCUGCUCACAGCUACUAACUUGGCUUUUAACAUAUGAAACUUUCUAAAAGUAAAGUUUCAAAUGGGGAAUGAAGAGGCUCAGAAUACACUACCCCAAAACAUGUCACUCAGAACACAUCAUCCCCAAAUAUGCCACUUUGGCAUCAGAAUUAUUUUAAACUAAAGGCACAUAAAAACAGGAGAUGCAAGAAGAUCACUCUGACCUUCACUGUUCUUUAAAAGCCAGAGAUGAAAUUCCCAUGUGAAAGGUGUUCUCCCUAAACCAAGAAGAAAGUAACAUUCUCAUCACAAAGGAUAGGAAGUUGAGGCUGAUAGGAAUCUAUACAAGCAUCCCUUAUGUUCCUAAUUACUUAUUUACCCAGUUAUUUACCCUAGCAUAAGCCCCUUUGCCUUGUUACAUUUUCACAAUUCAGGGCAUAAAUGUUUGACUCUAGCUGCUGCUUUGUGUCUUCAUUUCCUUAUGAAUGCUCUCCUGCCAUUAAAAAACUUGCAUUAAAUAAUUUAUAUACUUUUCUCCUGUUGAUUUGUCUUAUGUCUAUUUAAUUCUCCAGGCCCAGGCAACAAACAAACAAACAAGAAAACAAAACAAAAACAAAAAACCCCCAACAACAACAACAACAAAACCAUAAAAGAGGAGGGGCAAAUUUUUGCCUCCUCUUCUGCAUUUUUCACAUGCUUUAUCCUGUUUUCACUUCUUUACUUUCUGGCACUAUAAGGUGUUCCAGGCUCAUCUUAUAUUUAUUUUCCCUAUCCUAGCCCUGGAAUCAGCCACUUCUACACUUCUUGAAGGAGUCCUGGUUCCUUUCAUCAGGGAACGGCAUUUCGAAAUCAAGAUCUGAGUGCUGGCUGUGCUCAUUGCUACUGGUGUCACUGCUCAUAGUCUCCUCUCUCUCAGUGGGCAGAGCUAGGUAAUUCAUGCUUUGGUACUCAAUGAAAUAAAAGAGGGCACAAACAAAU